GUUAAAAAGCUCGUAGUUGGAUUUCUGCUGAGGACGACCGGUCCGCCCUCUGGGUGAGUAUCUGGCUCGGCCUUGGCAUCUUCUUGGAGAACGUAACUGCACUUGACUGUGUGGUGCGGUAUUCAGGACUUUUACUUUGAGGAAAUUAGAGUGCCUCAAGCAGGCGAUUGCCUUGAAUACAUUAGCAUGGAAUAAUGAGAUAGGACCUUGGUUCUAUUUUGUUGGUUUCUAAAGCUGAGGUAAUGAUUAAUAGGGAUAGUUGGGGGCAUUCGUAUUUAACUGUCAGAGGUGAAAUUCUUGGAUUUAUGGAAGACGAACUACUGCGAAAGCAUUUACCAAGGAUGUUUUCAUUAAUCAAGAACGAAAGUUAGGGGAUCGAAGAUGAUUAGAUACCAUCGUAGUCCUAACCAUAAACUAUGCCGACUAGGGAUUGGCAGUUUGUCCUAUGACAUUGUCAGCACCUUAUGAGAAAUCAAAGUCUUUGGGUGCCGGGGGGAGUAUGGUCGCAAGUCUGAAACUUAAAGA
rnacentral:rRNA from 1 species